rnacentral:piRNA from 1 species
AACAGUACAAUGCACUCUCGUGGC